AGGAGCUUGUCAUGUGGUUAAAAUCAAGAUUCACUUGCACGUUCACUCAUACAUGCUACUUCUACUCCUGAAGUACCAUCCACAUAUAUCCACUCAUUUCCAUCUCCAGAACCACCCAAAAAAAUAUUCUACUCCUAAUCCGGGAGAGAAUAGCCAAAAAAAUAUUUCUGUUUUUCCCUUGUGAAAUAAAUGCUCAAGUUAUCUUGUUACUACCACUUGCUAUAUUAUCUCAAGAGAUGAGUGCUCUAAAAAAAGAUACGAGGAAAUAAAAAGGGGCAAGUGCCCGUAACCUUGAAAGGAAAGAAAAAGUGAGACGAGAGGUAAAAAUGGACAAGUGUCCGACAGUAGAAUUAGGGGUACAAGAUACCCACCUGAGACAAAAGAAAAAAAGAAGAGCAUCUCAUUCUCCUCAUAAAGUUUCAGAAAGCAAGGAAGGUAUGUAUCCCUUCAAAGAGCAAAAGUAGAAUUAGACUUUCACCAUUGUUAUCACCAUCAUCACCAUACACCAUUCAUUCGCCACACAUGCACAUCUUGAUUUGACUUAUUGAUUUGUUUCUUUGGAUCCAUGGUUUCACUAUACAAUAAAUGUCUUGUAAGUAUGUAUACUUUAUCUCCCACCUAUG
rnacentral:lncRNA from 1 species